rnacentral:lncRNA from 1 species
UUGUGAAUUUUCCGAGUGAUAUGGCCAUGUUCCAGGAGCAUUCUCUCCUGAUGUUUCGCCUGCCUCUAUGGCAGGCAUCCUCAGAGGUUGUGAGGUCUGUUGGAAACUAGGCAAACAGGGUUUAUAUCUGUGGAAAGUCCAGGGUGGGUGGGAGAACUCUUGUCUGAGGAAAGUGUGAGUGUUGCAAAUGGCCAGCUUGAUUAGCAUUUGAUGGCCCAUCUCGUUGCUAAGCAACUUCUCAUUUGCAUUCAGCCAAUCAGACUACACAUAUGGUAAUAGAUGCUUGACUGCUCCUCCCCUUGCUCCACUGAGCUGUUGCAAGUAAGGCCUGUAAAAUGGUCGCAACCUCAGCCCUGCUUACAAAAUGGCUGCACACUGGUCCUGCAAGGUGGGUCAGCCACCCACCAACCUUAUAAGUGAACAGAGGAAUUGAUCAGCAACUGAAGAGGUUUUGGGAGAAUUCACCAUGAUUUACAAGAGUUGUACUUGACCUACAUCCAGAGAGCACUGUUAACCCAACCAACUAUGGAUCUGGAUCAAACUUGCCAGGAAUAAUGGGACUUGUAGUACCUUCACUGAUACUGUGACCCCGAACAACAAUGGACUGGGACCAGACUUGGCACAGAGAAGUCCCAAGACCAACUGAACAUACUGCAGGGGUUAGUGGGAAUGGACCUUGAUUUGGGGAGUUAUAGUUCAUCUGCAUCUAGUGACCCCCACCAACAAUGGAUACAAGUUUAACCCACUGUGUCACCACGGGGUCCAUAAUAAAACAAUACAUAAAACAAACAUCAGUGUGAACAAAUAAUAACUAACACACAAACAAAUAAUUAAAACAAAUAAGCCUCAUCUUACCUCUUCCGUGCUGUCACUGUUUCCAUGCCUUACUGGCCACCAAGCUCUAUUGCGUAUUGUGGGAAUCUCUGCUGAUAUUGAGGCGGGAGGUUAAAGAACCCCAGGAAAUGCUAUAUAUGGGCAGAGAUGGCGACGGCUAGCGAGCCGGGUGCAUAAGCUCACUGAAACAAGUGAUUUCUGGGAAAUCACGUGUUUCUGAAGAAAUGAAAGCUAAGAAUAGGCAAACUGCGCGUGCGCACGCAGGCGCCCUGAGUGAUUGUGAACACGACACGGAAAGAGUGCGCCCGGGC